AUUGAACGCUGGCGGCAGGCCUAACACAUGCAAGUCGAACGGUAACAGGAAGAAGCUUGCUUCUUUGCUGACGAGUGGCGGACGGGUGAGUAAUGUCUGGGAAACUGCCCGAUGGAGGGGGAUAACAACUGGAAACGGUAGCUAAUACCGCAUAACGUCGCAAGACCAAAGAGGGGGACCUUCGGGCCUCUUGCCAUCGGAUGUGCCCAGAUGGGAUUAGCUAGUAGGUGGGGUAACGGCUCACCUAGGCGACGAUCCCUAGCUGGUCUGAGAGGAUGACCAGCCACACUGGAACUGAGACACGGUCCAGACUCCUACGGGAGGCAGCAGUGGGGAAUAUUGCACAAUGGGCGCAAGCCUGAUGCAGCCAUGCCGCGUGUAUGAAGAAGGCCUUCGGGUUGUAAAGUACUUUCAGCGGGGAGGAAGGGAGUAAAGUUAAUACCUUUACUCAUUGACGUUACCCGCAGAAGAAGCACCGGCUAACUCCG
rnacentral:rRNA from 1 species